UACAGAGGGUGCGAGCGUUAAUCGGAAUUACUGGGCGUAAAGCGUGCGUAGACGGUUUUGUAAGUCGGAUGUGAAAUCCCCGGGCUCAACCUGGGAAUUGCAUUUGAGACUGCUCUGCUCGGGUGCGGAAGAGGGAAGCGGAAUUUCCGGUGUAGCGGUGAAAUGCGUAGAUAUCGGAAGGAACACCAGUGGCGAAAGCGGCUUCCUGGUCCGACACCGACGUUCAGGCACGAAAGCGUGGGGAGCAAACAGG
rnacentral:rRNA from 1 species